rnacentral:ncRNA from 1 species
AUGGAGCUUUGUUGGCAAACAUCCAUCCAUGGUUCUUAAAGAAGCAUGAAGAGAAAGAGUG